UAAGAGCGUAAUGUUCAAAAUCUUUUCGACUUCUCGGCCGCUUCUUUGUUGAGAGUUCGCUGCAUAUAGUCUGAGAAGUGAAGGGUUUAUCUUCUGUUGAUUCAGCAUGAGGGCUAAGUGGAAGAAGAAGCGUAUGAGGAGAUUGAAGAGGAAGAGACGAAAGAUGAGACAGCGAUCUAAGUAGCGUUUUCGAACAGACCAUGUUUCUGUGUUUCUUUGUUUUUAAUUUUAACCAAACUCUGUUCUUGAGUUUCGGUUUGAAUGUUUCGUUUGGACCAAAUUAGUACAACGUUAUGUUUCUAUUUAAGCGUUUUGUUUAUUCA